rnacentral:rRNA from 1 species
GAUGAACGCUAGCUACAGGCUUAACACAUGCAAGUCGAGGGGCAGCGCAGUGUAGCAAUACAUGGGCGGCGACCGGCGCACGGGUGCGUAACGCGUAUCCAACCUUCCCGUUACUCAGGGAUAGCCUUCCGAAAGGGAGAUUAAUACCUGAUGGUGUUCAAAUUCCGCAUGUUAUUUGAACUAAAGAUUUACCGGUAACGGAUGGGGAUGCGUGACAUUAGGUAGAUGGCGGGGUAACGGCCCACCAUGCCUACGAUGUCUAGGGGUUCUGAGAGGAAGGUCCCCCACACUGGAACUGAGACACGGUCCAGACUCCUACGGGAGGCAGCAGUGGGGAAUGUUGGUCAAUGGUCUGACGACUGAACCAGCCAUGCCGCGUGAAGGUCACGGCCCUAUGGGUCUUAAAACUUCUUUUGUAAGGGAGCAAUAAGUCUCACGUGUGGGAUGAUGAGAGUACCUUACGAAUAAGCAUCGGCUAACUCCGUGCCAGCAG